rnacentral:rRNA from 1 species
AACGAACGCUGGCGGCAUGCCUAACACAUGCAAGUCGAACGAGACCUUCGGGUCUAGUGGCGCACGGGGGCGUAACGCGUGGGAACCUGCCCGUAGGUUCGGAAUAACUCCCCGAAAGGGGUGCUAAUACCGGAGAAGGUAUUCGGACCAAAGAUUUAUCGCCUUUGGAUGGGCCCGGGUUGGUUUAGCUAGUUGGUAGGGUAAAAGCCUACCAAGGCGUCGAUCCAUAGCUGGUCUGAGAGGAUGACCAGCCACGCUGGGACUGAGACACGGCCCAGACUCCUAGGGAAGGCAGCAGAGGGGAAUAUUGGACAAUGGGCGAAGGCCUGAUCAAGCAAUGCCGGGUAAGUGAUGAAGGCCUUAGGGUUGUGAAGCUGUUUUACCCGGGAUGAUAAUGACGGUACCGGGAGAAUAAGCUCCGGCUAACUCCGUG